ACUUCUUGAACUGGAUCAGAUCAUAGGUGCUAAUACAACUGUAAAUCCUCCCCCUGGAUUAAAACUUAAAGUGCAUUUCUGCCUGGACGUGGGACUUGGGAACAGAAAAUCCAGAAUCAGGAGCAUCUGGAUGGAAGAUGAACUAACUUCUGUUGAUCAGGUAAUGUAUUUUUUCCCACGUCCAAGGCAUCACUGACAAGGAAUUGCUAAAAAAAAAAAAAAAAAGGCAUUUCUUCUCACACUUCUAUUAUGGGAGGGAUUAUUUUCACUUGACAGGGCUGAAUAACACAGUAUGAGUUCAAAACAUCUAGUAAGAGAGUCAAAGGAAAAGGAGUCCCAGAGCACUACUGAAGGCUUAACUCUACUUACAGGAUGCUGACUGAGAACAAACAAGUGACGUGUAGAAAUGCAAGACUUUUUAUGUCCUCUCCCAGGACCGUACUCCUCAGGAAAAGAAUUUGUUUAUGCUCUCAGGGUACAUCUGAAUUCAAAACAUGAAGAAAAUCAAGAUUUACUUAGGAGAUGCUGCAUGCAUGAGAUAUGUGUGAAGACAUAAAUAACCCAAAAAAGAAGAAGAAAACUGAUGAACCCAAAAAAGAAGAAGGAACACACUGAAGAAAACAGUGCUUGUGUAAUGAUAGCACUUAGCUUUCCUGGCUUCCUGGGACAGAAUUUAACUAGAUUUUCAACCUGUAUUUAUAUUUCAUUCAGUGCUGGCUCAACAUUGCUAAAUCUGUAGCUAUAUUCACAUAUUUUGCCAUUAUGUUUUACAGCCUGUAUGAAAGUAAUCAUAUGGGGUGGUUUUUUUUGUUUUGUUUUUUUUUUAUGUUUCACACCUUGGUACUCAUUGUAACUAAAGGGUGAAAACAUGGGAAAAAAACUCAGAAGAAUUUUUACUUUUAUUUCUUUUUUAAGAAACUAAUAUGGCUGUCUGAUUCAUUUUGUAAUUUGUUGUAAUUGAGUAGUGACCAUCUGAACUGACUGAACUUACUCUAGGGUAUAACACCCCAGAACUUAAAGAACAUCCCAGUGUCAGCAUUCUGCCUUGCUACUGCGAGCAUUGCUUUAUAUCUGACCUUUUCUUCUGCAUUCUCCUAGAGUAUUCAUUCACAAACAUCUUAGGCAAUCUUCCUCUUCAUUAUCACUUUUUCACACUGUUUAUUAUUUGAAAUAGCCUGAAGAUAUUUUGGCAAAAAGAGCAUGGCUGUGUUUGUCUGUUCCCAGAAAUGUAAACGACUUUAGCUCCCUGGCUCUGAGCAAGUACACUUGCCUGUAGCAUUUCUAAGUCCCAGCAUUCAUGCACAAAGUUUUGUCAGGUUGAGCUAUUCAAUUCAAGCGAGAUUAAAAUACACACUCAAAAAAACAAAUCUCAUCCCAUAUCGGCAAUGAUCAGCUUGAUUGAGCAUAUUACAAGUUUCUUCAUUUUCAAUUCAGUAAGAGCCAAUUAUUUUUAAUCUACUGAAUUGGAAAUCACCUCACAUACUAACAAGUCUUCUGAUCCCCUGACUUAUAAACAGCUUUACUUAUCUUCUAACAUCAUUCUGUGUGAAGUUACACAGGUUCUUUGUACUGGUGGACAUUUUUAUUUCAGAUCUAUACUUUAUUUAUUUAUACUUUAUUUAUAAGGAUAUAUACUUGAAAAAUAAUGAACUGAUUCAAUAUUCUGUGCUUUGCUUGCUUGACACAGGUUAAGAACUUUACUUGCAUAAAUUUUCAUAGAAGAUUACAAAGAAGAAGUGAAAAAUAUAAUGACAAGAAAUAUACAUAUGCAUUAUCAUAUAUUAUCCUGGGAUUUAAUUUAUUAUGAAAUCUGUUAUCCAUGUGAUAGCUAUUUCAGUGUAAAUAUUUAUGUGUGGGAGAGGAGAGAAACUACAUCUGCUCAGAAAAUUCACAUUCGUCUCCUGACUACUUUUUCUUAGAUAUUUUCUUUGCUCUUAUCUCUUGCACUGAUUUUACACGCUUGAAGAAGAAAGUUAGGCAGAGCUUUUACAGUGGCUGGUAAAAUUCCUGAAAUGAACUUACAAAAGGAACUUACAGUGGAAGAACAUCACUGAAAGAGUUCUUACAAAGGCAAGUUGAAAGUACAAAGAGUACUUCUGUUCAGUAAUUACAAUUUCAAAAAGAAGAUCCUUAACUAGAUUUAUACUGAAUAAAAAAAAAAAAUCAUGUUAUCUUUAACUUUUUUUUAAUUCACUGCUGCCAGUUGAAAAGGGAAGAAGAGAGAACAAAAAUAUUGAUUUAAGCCUUUGCUGGAUCUCAUCUUAGAAAAAAAAAAAAUUAUUAGUCAAUUUUAAUACACCCUUUAAGAACAGUUUGCCUACUUGCUUCUAAAACAUAAAGAGAUCAGAAAAGGUAUGUACGUAACAGAUUUUGGGUGGUUUGAAUCAAAUUCCAAAAUUAAGCUUACAGUUGCACAUUGAAGAUCUGAUUAAUAACUUUACUUAUAUCCUGAACACAUAACAAAUCUUGUUUAUAUAGGCAGUGCACGCAUGCUCCAGGAAAAAAAUUAAUAAUAAUAAUCAAAAAGACAUAUUCCUUAAUAAAAAUUUAGGCUUGCCAUUACAGAAAAGAGUGCAUUACUUCUUUAGAAUGUACUUCUUAGAACUUCUUAGAAUGCAGUGUUUCUGUUGUGUCAAAGUUUCUGCCAGCAUUUCCUCUGCUGCUUUUUCUGUGUCUGCCUCUGUUACUGCUGUUCUCUGGGACCUCACAGUGUGUACAAGGCAGAGCCUGACUCUGAUAGGGUACUAAUAGCCUGAUUUCAGAUCUCAAGAGAGUGGAAGGCUUUUGGAAAAGGUCACUAGAAGUUUUCAAAUGUUACCAAUUAAUGUGUUUGGUGGAUUGUGCUGAGGAGUAUGGAAUAUGGAUGGAAAUCCCAUAUCUUGUGAGUUCACCUCUGCAGACGCGGUGGUCACUCAAAGUGACACAAACAGUUGCAAGCUGCCAAGAGUUUAGAGGCUGGCAACUGUGCUUUUUUCUUCAAUAAAAAAUUAACAUAUUGUCUACCCUAUUUGUCCAGUUCGUGAUGUUUUAGGGCUGUUACUAUGCGUCUAAUGUUUUAAACUAUGUUCCCAAGAUAAUAUUCCUUCUUACCAUCAAAAUUUUUACUUUCAUAGGUACAUGAAUUUUCGAAUUAUCUUAACUGUUUAAUAAUUUCUGAAAUAAUUGUGUCUUGACAAAGAUCAAAUCUUCUAAACAAGACACUUUUGCAAAUGAUGUCACAACAUGGUCAUCUAAAUUAUCUGUCUUCUUUACUGGAAUUUUUCAUGAGGGUAUGAAACUCUAUAGCAAUGUUAUAAUUAAUUUUCUAUGAUGGUACUGAAUUUAAUCUCUGGAAUUUUGUUUUUCCAUUUGCUUCUGUGAGGUUUUUUUACAUGUUUUUAAUAAUCAAAACCAUAAGUUAUAGUAAAAAUGUUAGGAAUUGAAGAUUUAUGUUGCAUUCUUUAAAAUAAAAUCCCCUUGAAUAAUGUGUGAAGUUACCAGCAAGAUAAUUAGUGUAUUUUCUUCUUUUCAUUUUUCACUUUCCCCUUUCUGGAUUAAUUCACCUCUUGCUCUUUGAAGAUGGAUAGAGAACUACAGGAAUUCUUGCUUUUUGUUUUUUGCUUGUUUGUUUGUUGUUUUGUUGGUUGGUUGGUUGGUGGGUUUUUUGUUUUGUUUUUUCAAAAUAAAUUACUG
ensembl:lncRNA